CUUCCACAGGGCUUGGUAAAAAAACCAGUUGAGGUGUUAAUGACCCUUUUUGCUGGGUGUAAAACAAAGCAUCUUUAACCACUGUUCAUUAUCCCCAGCUGCUCUUACCAAGGCUUUGAAGGGGGAAAUUAUGCUCUAGGCAGCCACUAGUAGUAAACAAUAGUUCUUUUUUUUGAGACAGAGUUUCACUCUGUCACCCAGGCGGAGGUUGCAGUGAGCUAAGAUCGCACCACUUUACUCCAGCCUGAGCGACAGAGCAAGACUCUGUCUCAAAAAAAAAAAAAAAGAGAGAGAGAGUUGGCAAGAUAUUUGGUAAACCUAGGCCUUAACACCUAUAGCUUCAGCUCUUUUCCCUGGUCUUGCUAAAAAUUGGGAUGAAAUGUGACUGCCUUGAUGUUCAAAUAUCAUUCUCCUGUGAUUUGAUUUUCUACGGUGGCAGUGGCUUACACUGAGGUAAGCAUACUCUAACCUGGUCUCCUAGGAACAAAUGUGGAUGAAAUGUGGAUGCAGUCCAUUACCUGGGAAAAAAGCAAAAUGGACUCUACAUAGAGACAAGAUCCAAAGAGAUAUUCAUCUGAUUGCCCUGAGUUAACCAACAAUAGGCCAUAAGCUCAGUGAAGUUACACUGGCCCCAGUGCUUUCCUUAGCUGCUCUCAUAUAAAUAUUCAAAAGUC
rnacentral:lncRNA from 10 species